rnacentral:siRNA from 1 species
UUAAAAACACAUUGAGCCU